rnacentral:rRNA from 1 species
ACAUAUUUUAAUUUUUAAUCAAUUUAUUAUAUUAAAUAAAUUUACAUUUAAAUCCACCUUCAUUUUAAUCAAUUACAAAAAAAAAUCCAUUUAAAUAAAUUUAUUGUAAUCCAUCAUAUUCUUAAUUAUAUUCUACAUCUUGAUCUGAAUUAAUUUUUUAUUAUAAUUUUUAAAUAUUUUUUUUAUUUAAAAAUAUUUUUUUAACAACGAUAUAUAAAAUUAUAAAUUAAGUAAAUUUAAUCGUGGAUUAUCAAUUAUUAGACAGAUUCCUCUAAAUGAACUAAAAUACCGCCAAAUUAUUUAAGUUUUAAUAAAUUAUUACUUACU